GAUGAACGCUGGCGGCGUGCCUAAUACAUGCAAGUCGAGCGAACAGUCGAGGAGCUUGCUCCUCUGACGUUAGCGGCGGACGGGUGAGUAACACGUGGAUAACCUACCUAUAAGACUGGGAUAACUUCGGGAAACCGGAGCUAAUACCGGAUAACAUGUUGAACCGCAUGGUUCAACAGUGAAAGACGGUCUUGCUGUCACUUAUAGAUGGAUCCGCGCCGCAUUAGCUAGUUGGUAAGGUAACGGCUUACCAAGGCAACGAUGCGUAGCCGACCUGAGAGGGUGAUCGGCCACACUGGAACUGAGACACGGUCCAGACUCCUACGGGAGGCAGCAGUAGGGAAUCUUCCGCAAUGGGCGAAAGCCUGACGGAGCAACGCCGCGUGAGUGAUGAAGGUCUUCGGAUCGUAAAACUCUGUUAUUAGGGAAGAACAAAUGUGUAAGUAACUAUGCACGUCUUGACGGUACCUAAUCAGAAAGCCACGGCUAACUACGUG
rnacentral:rRNA from 1 species